rnacentral:rRNA from 1 species
UACGUAGGGUGCAAGGCGUUGUCCGGAAUUUAUUGGGCGUAAAGAGCUCGUAGGCGGUUUGUCGCGUCUGCUGUGAAAACCCGAGGCUCAACCUCGGGCCUGCAGUGGGUACGGGCAGACUAGAGUGCGGUAGGGGAGAUUGGAAUUCCUGGUGUAGCGGUGGAAUGCGCAGAUAUCAGGAGGAACACCAAUGGCGAAGGCAGAUCUCUGGGCCGUAACUGACGCUGAGGAGCGAAAGCAUGGGGAGCGAACAGG